AAAGUAUGUCAUGUUUUGCCAAAGCUUCUUUCUUUUCUUUCUUUUUUUUCUUUUCUUUCUUUUCUUUACUUCUCCUUGUU
rnacentral:ribozyme from 13 species